rnacentral:rRNA from 1 species
GACGAACGUUGGCGGCGUGCUUAAUACAUGCAAGUCCACUGAAGCAGUGGUAGCAAUAUCGCUGUGGAGGUGGCGCACGGGUGAGUAACACGUAGGUAAUCUGCCUUCAGGUCUGGCAUAAUUCCGGGAAACCGGGGCUAAUAGCAGAUGAUGCAGCGGCUCGACAUCGAGACAGCUGUUAAAGCUAUGGUUCCUGAAGAUGAGCCUGCGUCUGAUUAGCUAGUUGGCGGGGUAACGGCCCACCAAGGCAACGAUCAGUAGCUGGUCUGAGAGGAUGAUCAGCCACACUGGAACUGAGACACGGCCCAGACUCCUACGGGAGGGAGCAGUAAGGAAUAUUGCUCAAUGGGAGAAAUCCUGAAGCAGCAACGCCGCGUAAGGGACGAAGGGCUUUUGCUUGUAAACCUCUGUAGUGAGAGAAAAAAAUCACAAUCUUUGGGACAUGAUGGUAUCUCAAAAGUAAGCCCCGGCUAACUACGUG